AGGAGAAUAGUUAUCCGCUGGUCUUAGGCACCACAACUCUUGGUGCAAAU
rnacentral:tRNA from 1 species